GACGAACGCUGGCGGCGUGCUUAACACAUGCAAGUCGAACGGAAAGGCCCUGCUUUUGUGGGGUGCUCGAGUGGCGAAGGGGUGAGUAACACGUGAGUAACCUGCGCUGGACUUUGGGAUAACUUCAGGAAACUGGGGCUAAUACCGGAGAGGAGCUGCUGCUGCAUGGGGGGGGUUGGAAAGUUUCGGCGGUUGGGGAUGGACGCGCGGCUGAUCAGCUUGUGGGUGGGGUAGUGGCUUACCAAGGCUUUGACGGGUAGCCGGCCUGAGAGGGUGACCGGCCACAUUGUGACUCGGAUACGGCCCAGACGCCUACGUGAGGCAGCAGUGGGGACUAUUGCCCAAUGGGCGGAGGCCGGAUGCAGCAACGCCGCGUGCGGGAUGACGGCCUUCGGGUUGUAAACCGCUUUCGCCUGUGACGAAGCGUGAGUGACGGUACUGGGUAAAGAAGCACCGGCUACCUACGU
rnacentral:rRNA from 1 species